rnacentral:rRNA from 1 species
GAUGAACGCUAGCGGCAGGCUUAACACAUGCAAGUCGAGGGGUAUGGGAAGCUUGCUUUCCAGAGACCGGCGCACGGGUGCGUAACGCGUAUGCAAUCUACCCAUUACUGGAAGAUAGCCCGGAGAAAUUCGGAUUAAUACUCCAUAACACUAUAACAUGGCUUCAUGAAGUAGUUAAAGAUUUAUCGGUAAUGGAAGAG